GAUGAACGCUGGCGGCGUGCCUAAUACAUGCAAGUCGAGCGAACAAACGAGGUUCUUGCCUCUCUGACAUUAGCGUCGUACCGGUGAGUAACACGUGGAUAAACUACCCAUAAGACUUGGAUAACUUCGGGAAACAGGAGCUAAUACCGGAUAAUAUAUUGAAAUGCAAGGUCAACUAGUGAAAGACGGUGUUGCUAACAUUUAUUGAUGUAACAGCGCCGCAUUACCUAGUUGGUAAGGUAACGGCUUACCAAGGCAACGAUGCAUAGCCGAUAUGAGAGGGAGAUCGGCCAGACUGGAACAGAGGCACGGUCCAGACUCCUGCGGGGGGCAGCAGUAGGGAAUCUUCCGCGAUGUGCGAAAGCCGGACGGUGCAACGCCGCGUGAGUGAUGAAGGUCUGCGGAUCGGAAAACUCUGUUAUUAGGGGAGAACAAAUGUGUAAGUAACUAUGCACGUCUUGACGGUACCUAAUCAGAAAGCCACGGCUAACUACGUG
rnacentral:rRNA from 1 species